CCUACGGGUGGCUGCAGUAGGGAAUAUUGCUCAAUGGGGGAAACCCUGAUGGUGCGACGCCGCGUGGGGGAAUGAAGGUCUUCGGAUUGUAAACCCCUGUCAUGUGGGAGCAAAUUAAAAAGAUAGUACCACAAGAGGAAGAGACGGCUAACUCUGUGCCAGCAGCCGCGGUAAUACAGAGGUCUCAAGCGUUGUUCGGAAUCACUGGGCGUAAAGCGUGCGUAGGCUGUUUCGUAAGUCGUGUGUGAAAGGCGCGGGCUCAACCCGCGGACGGCACAUGAUACUGCGAGACUAGAGUAAGGGAGGGGGAACCGGAAUGCUUGGUGUAGCAGUGAAAUGCGUAGAUAUCGAGAGGAACACUCGUGGCGAAGGCGGGUUCCUGGACAUUAACUGACGCUGAGGCACGAAGGCCAGGGGAGCGAAAGGGAUUAGAUACCCCAGUAGUC
rnacentral:rRNA from 1 species